UUUCAUUCAAAAACACAAGUCUUGUGUGAGCUUCUUAAUGUUUUCCUUGGGAGCUCCCCUUCUAGUCUUUUUAAAGAGUCCUCUAAAGCAAGUUCGCGUGGAUCCACCUGACUGACCGGUUCCCCACGGCCAUGGGUCGAACUCGGUACACAAGGGUGGGCGGAUUUUGAGUUGAAGACACGUAGGACUGCCUUAGUAAUAAACCGGAUAUGUUAUGUUUCUUUUAUUUAUUUGAAUAAGAAUCUUGUUGUUAAUAUUUGAAUUCUAUGUUAUGUGUGACAAUUUAAUAUUGAUGCUUUAAAUACUUUAAAUUUUAAAUAGUUGU
rnacentral:lncRNA from 1 species